CAGAAGAAACGAAAAGGCAAGCAAAACCCAAACGGAGCACACACUGCAGUCACCGGGUGGGAACUGGAGUAAUUGCAGAGAAAGCCGAGCUCCUGUGUAGCAGUCAGACACUUUUGGAGGCACUGCAGCCUGGCUCACGGGCAGAAGAGCAGGGUGAUAUUUCCAAAUCUUGAGGAUACUGGGAAAACAAGAGAGGAUGGAGUGUGUAGGAAAGAACAGGAAGAUUCUAGAAGAGUAGCUUGAAGCCUGUGCCUUGUUCAACGGGAUUUGUACUACUCUGGACUGUGAAAAUGAGUUGGACAUUCAUUUCCAAGGUUACCCUGGGUCAGAGGCUGCUGAUGGGCAUAUAUUUGUUUUGUCUGGCUCCCUGUUGCUUGAAAUCAACACCUCAAGCCCCUUUUAUUAGAAGACAUCCCUCACAAGAAAAGCCAAGGUGAUUGUCACAUGCAUUUAGUUACUUCAGCCAAUGACUCAAGCUCCUUCCUACAGCCUUUGACAAGAGAAAGGUGAAAUAUCUUUCUGAAGUCCAGUGAGAAGGCAUUAUGAAGCGUCAGGAGUUUCUUUCAUCAGUGAUGGCAGAUGGUGAUCGACCCCUGCUUCAACAUCUGGGUACAUCAUUGUUUCAUUUUCAGGAAAGAUGUAGCAAACAUGCUUCUCUGCAGAGGAUGUAUUGCCCUCCCAUCCACACUCCUUUCCCAUUAGAUCAUCUUAAUGAAAACAUCAAAAGAAAAUUCAGUUACAUAAUUUCUUGUUGAACACAACAUCUCAGUUAGAGGUAACUAAGAUGAAGUGCUAUAGAGAGAGUUGGGUCUUAAAUACAUGCAAUCCCUUUAAAUAUAUCAGAAAAUGUAAGUAAAUGAGCAAUGAACCCAUUAGCCAAGUCCUUAUGCUCCUUUCCUAAUCUCUGAUCUGCAUCUGAUGCAAGAAUUAUGUGAUCUGAUGCAUUUCAGGGCUCCUAACCUGUGGUGUACCCUGAAGAUUUUUUUUUUUACCCUACAUCAUGACUUGAUUUACCUUCCAUUACGAAGUACUGAGGAAGUCCUUACAUAGCAUGAUGUCUAAAAAAGGCAAGUUUAUAAAAAAGAUAAAAAGGCGUGAAUUACUGGAGACAUUAAUUAAUUUGUUUUUCCUGAAUUCAAUCAUUUCCUAACUUCUGAGAAGCAAGACACUUUUGUGAUUUUACAUCUGGUUACUGCAUCAUCAGUACACUGAUACUGGAAUUCUGAACUUGAAUGUGUAGUAGAGGGAUUUUUGGUCAGACUGCUAAUGUCUGUAUGUUUUAUUGCUCUAGUUGAUCAGUCUCACUGAAUUAAUUGUUAGUGCAAUGGGAAGGAAGUACAUAUGUUUUUUGCGUAUUUGAAUCUGGCAUCCAUCUAUCCCAAAGGAAAUAAAGUUCUAUCUUCAUAUCCUUCAUAUCCUUCUCCUCCUUCCUCUUCCUCUUCCAUAAGCCUAUUAACCUAUAUUAAAAAUAAGAAUGAAAAUAAAACAAUAUUUUAGGGUAUACAGAAUUGAAACAAGUUAAUUUGUGACGGACAGUAUUUUGGAAAUGAGGAUCUUCUGUGGUGUCUCAGGUUAGUCACACAAAAUCUAUUGCAUCACUAUAAGACCUUUUGUUCAGUAUAUGAGUGUUUACUCCCAACAAAUAUGUUUUUCUUCUCCCAUGUAAUAAAUGCUUGCAUUGUCAAAUGAAGACAGUCAAUUUUAACUGUAAAUUACUCAAUUUGCAAGAAUAUUUUGUGUUCUUUACACUUCAAACUCAUGUUGAUGGAAAAAAUUAUUAUUCUGGAGAGAAUCCAAUUUUUAAAAGGUUAAAUUCUGUUUCCUUGACCUAUUUUUAGUAAAAUAAAACACACUUCUCUCUGCAGCUUUGCAUAUAACAACAGUCCCAAGGCACAAUGCCUAAUAAAGAAUUAACUAUUUUGUUGUCCUAUAGCUGCAACGUUAAAAGCAAUAUAACUGUUACUUUCCACUCCUAUCUUUUAUUCCCCCCAGCACUCUUUCUGUAAGAAAUCAUUUUGUUGAUGGAGGAAAAGACAGAUCAUCUGGGCAAGCUAACAAGUUACAGCCCCAUGGGAGUUACACAAUGCAAGAGCACCUGUGGUGCAUCAGAUCAAAAGAGCCAUGGCCUAGUGGGCCAUAGCAGCUUCUGAAGGGAGAAGGUAUGCAUUGCAAGGGCAACCAUGUAUGUGAUGCUUCCUCUAAGUGUUCUCCCAGUUUCCAAUCAUUUGGGACUCAGGGACUUCCUGAGCUGGACAUAACCAUCCUUGGCCUUUGCUGCCCUGGGCUAGCACACUUGCCUUUUGACCCUAAAUAGCCUUUUAGCACACACAUCAGCCUUCAGGCAAAAGUGACUCUUCAAAUCAUUCAUGCUUCACAGAUUUCUACCACGCUUCCCCCAGUUCAUCUCUUUCCAGGCUAAAAAAUUCAGUCUACACAACCAUCCCUUGCAAGAAAUGAUGACCCUGUGGUCAUCUUUCUCAGCCUUCUCUUAAUAUUCUCCAGUUAGUGGUAAUAUUCCUCUAAUUCAUUAUCACAGGUUAUCUACAUAUAUCUGUUUUUAAAAGUGCCUCAAGACCUUUGUGUUUCCAUUCUAGCAGCUUCUUCAAGGUACUGAGUAUUCAUAUUACACUGUGGCCAGGGUACGUAAGCAAAUGAAUUCAGGCUCUGAAGCAGCAAAGCUUUCCUUUUGCCUUAAAGUCACCUAACAGGAGGUAAGUAAUCCCAUUACAGGUGGGUGUAUGUCAAGCCUGUUGAGGGUGUGUUUGGUGAAGGGCAGCAUUCAUUCUGCAACCUGGCCGUGUGAUGCAGCUCUUACAGAGGGUGUGAACUGCUACCCAAAAGAUCACUGCCUGGAAGUAAUACAUCCUCUCUCCCCAAAUGCCCUGCCUCAUCUGCACCCCUUUCAUGUGCUCUACAUGAAAUAAGGCUGCUGUAUUCACAUGGAGAAUCCCAUGACAGUGCAGUGUUCCUCAUUAUGAGAUUUAAGAACCAUUUGAAAAACUAGUCUGAUAAAUACUGAAAAACGCUGCUUGGCUGCUGCUCAGCGUGAAGGAAAUCUAACCAACUGCAGGCUAGACGUUUGUCGUGCAAAACUACAAUGCUGUGCUUUCACCAUCCUUCUGGCUUCUGUGCAAAUGAGUAAAAGUCUUUCGAAGCAAAAAACAUUCCAGGCAAUAUUCACGUUUCUCAUCAUUCAGCCUCCUUUUCUGAAAGAUCACUGUGAAAUCACUGCCUAUUCCUGAAGAAGUCCUGCUCUAAGAUACAACCCUGUGCAUGUCCCACUGCAACUGAGCAACCUCAGCCUCAGAAGAACAAGUAGAUGAAGAUCCUCAUCUUCAUCCUCCUUCAUAGGAGCAAUAUGACUCAGGGAUAUUUUUCCCGUUGAUGUAACACUAAGAAACCUACCUGGUCAGUACGUUUAUAAAUAUUGUGUUUCGAGGGGAGUUACCCGAUUCAACUGGAACACUCAAGUUUUUGUCAGAUGGGAAUCCUAUUUGUUUUGGUUUUCAUGACUAUUACAUGGCAAAAACCUUUAAAAUAUUUUAAAUUAUUUGAACUCCAGAAAGGUCAUUACAACUUGGCAAGAUGAAAAACACUCUGAACUGCAAAUCUGACUCAAACAUUUGUGCCUUGACCUCAUUAAAAGCUAUCAUGAUGCCACUGUUGUAAAUUUAAAAAUGCCAGUUUCUUUUCCUUUUCAAGCUAUAUGUAUUCAUAUAAAUGUGUUUACUUACUUCACAAUCUUUAUCAAAUUUUCAAGGAAACUAUGAAGCGAUGUCAUAAGAGGAACUUCUGACAAGAAAAAGUAAAUGAGAGGUCAAACUACUGGAAGUCUUGCAGGGACCUCUGCUAGCCAAUGUAUUAAUAAACAACCCUGGAAAGGAGGUGAGCUGUAGGAUGAUGGCAUUAAGGGUAAGAAGUACAAGUACCAACUGGGAAGAGCUGCAGAAAGAUCAGAGUGAUUGGAUAAGAAACUGACAUGAAACUCGGUGUAGGAAAAUUUUACAUAAAGUGUUCCACAAGGGGAAAUCUCAUCUGAGCUUUCAACCUAAAAUAAUGUACAAUGAGUGGACGAUGACUUCUUUGGAGAGAGGUCUUAGGGUUAUGACCAGUACUACCAAGAAAAUGUCAUAUCAAUGUGAAAUAGUGGUCAAAAAAAAAAAAAAAAAAGGCAAGGCAAAAGCUAUCAAGGAACAGAGAACAAACCAGAGAAUAUCAUAGUGCCACUGAAUAAAUCAGUGUUUUGAUCAUCCUUUGAAUAUUCUGUGUAAUUCUGGUACUGUAAUUCCAGAGGAGAUAUGAAGGAGUUGGAGCAGGAUAACUCCAGGAUGUUCAGCAAGGAAUGGUUUCUAUACUGGCAACCGCUGAGUUCAGUCUGAAAAAGUGAGAAAUUUAGGCGUUAUUGUAGGGAUCUACAUAUAAAAUCAUGAUUACCAGAGAGGGACUGACUGAGUUCACUGUCAUCCAGUUCUACAACAAAAGGUCAUCAAAUUCAGAGAGUGGGAAUGAGGUUGAAAAGAGACAGUGGGAAAUAAUUCAGGCAACGAGUCUGGGAAAAUCCUUGCCAAAGGAUGCUGCCAUAGUGCAGUUUUACAUGGCUCAAGGGCCACCAGGUUUAACUAAACACACAGAAACACAAUGCAAAUGCAGGAAACACCCUGCAGUGAAAAUAUCUGGAUACUGGCAGAGUGUUAAAGAGGAGUGUCAUAUAUUAAUGGCCGGUACAUAUUGUUCCCCAGGUAUCCACUUAAAAUGACUGCUGGAAAACAGGGUAAGGAGCAAUCUAGACCUUUGCGUAGCACAGUGUGGAUGGCCUCAGGUCCAAAUAAGCCCCUGCCUCUCUCCAAAUAAGCUUCUGUAUGUGUAGGCUAUGGCAGAGAUGAAGGAGCUACGUUUCGGUGCUUUCUUACCUUCUCAAGAGCUAUCUGAAAAAUCCAGCACAAAGCAGAAAAAUACACUGAGAAAUCACAUGGUGUGCAUUUCCUCUAACUUGACCACAUCAUCACCUAGGCUACUAAUCUGUAUGUUUUUACUGUGUAAUUGAACUUCACUUUGUGCAAGGAAUAUUUCAUUUUGUGUUGAGGGGAAAAAAAACUAAAGGAGACAAGAAUUGCGGUCAAAGUCUUGUGAAAAACAUCUUAAGCAGUGUCUCCUGCACUGAUAAAAUGUAGGCUUUGGGAAGCUGAGAGGUAUCUAAUACAAGCUUUCCUCUCUCUUGCCGUACCCUGAAACACCUUCAGCAAUACAUUUGCUUUCACAGACAUGAAAUCAGUAUAAAUUCCAGCUACUGAUGCCACAUGCUGUCCCAUCUUUCCACACAGAAUCAUAGAAUAGUUUGGGUUGUAAGGCACCUUAAGGAUCACCCAGUUCAAGUGCCUUUGCCAUUGGCAGGGACACCUUCCACUAGACCAGGUUGCUCAAGGCCCCAUCCAGCCUGGCCUUGAACACUUCCAGGGAUGGAGCAUCCACAGCUUCUCUGGGAAACCUGUUAAACACAAGGUUUUCCCUCCCAGUAUCCUUGAUCAGUCUGUAUAAGUGGGCAGUAAGGCAGUUCAAGGAGUCGAUCCAUCAGUGAGCUAACCUUGCAAACAAAAAUUACUGUUUUCCAGUUGUAUGAGUUCCAUCAUGUGCAAGGGACAGGGGCAAUGCCAGGGAGGUGGCCUGUCUGUUCAGUCACUGGCUUGUGCCUUCCUCACUUCUGUGAAUGCUGACUGAGAUGUACAUACUUAAAGAUACUGCAAAAUCAGCCCUUAGCACUUCUCGCUGUCUUAACAAAGAUAUAAAUAUCUCACCUGCUCUGACCUCCAAAAUCCAAGCUAUCCUGGGAAAGGUGACUUUUGAUUAUAAAUUGUAACCACAUGUUGUAUUAAAGAGUAUGU